rnacentral:rRNA from 1 species
AACGAACGCUGGCGGCAUGCCUAACACAUGCAAGUCGAACGAGACCUUCGGGUCUAGUGGCGCACGGGUGCGUAACGCGUGGGAACCUGCCCUUAGGUUCGGAAUAACUCCCCGAAAGGGGUGCUAAUACCGGAUAAUGUCUUCGGACCAAAGAUUUAUCGCCUUUGGAUGGGCCCGCGUUGGAUUAGCUAGUUGGUAGGGUAAAAGCCUACCAAGGCGACGAUCCAUAGCUGGUCUGAGAGGAUGAUCAGCCACACUGGGACUGAGACACGGCCCAGACUCCUACGGGAGGCAGCAGUGGGGAAUAUUGGACAAUGGGCGAAAGCCUGAUCCAGCAAUGCCGCGUGAGUGAUGAAGGCCUCAGGGUUGUAAAGCUCUUUUACCCGGGAUGAUAAUGACAGUACCGGGAGAAUAAGCUCCGGCUAACUCCGU